rnacentral:rRNA from 1 species
UGCGUAGGUGGCGCUGUAAGUCAGUGGUGAAAGGUUCCGGCUUAACCGGAGAAUGGCCUUUGAUACUGCAGUGCUAGGAUUGGGUUGAGGUUGGCGGAAUGUGACAUGUAGCGGUGAAAUGCAUAGAUAUGUCAUAGAACACCGAUUGCGAAGGCAGCUGACUGGACCUUGAUUGACACUGAGGCACGAAAGCGUGGGGAGCGAACAGGAUUAGAUACCCUGGUAGUCC